AUCCUGGUGUAACUAUGGGCACCUUUCCUGGGUUCCAUGUUCUGGAACCUCCCUCCUCCUUAGGGAGUUACCUUCUUACCACUUACUUCUCCAGAACUACUCCCUUUGUAGCCAGAGCCAACAAAGAUGCUCCUUCCCACACUUCUUGGAAUGCCUCCAUCAGUCCCAGUUUCUACUUUAAGGAACAUACUUUGUCCAAGUAACUGGAAGGAAGGCAGAGCCUGAGCUUGAACUUCACUUUCCAGAAGGGACCCUGCCUUCUCUGGGAUAUUCUUCAUGCUGGCAGGCUGUCGGGAAGAUACGUGGGGACCCUGGGAUUUUCCUUUCGCUUUCUUGUGCUCUCAGAAACCACCCCCUGGUGACUCAGAAACAUGAAGGCUUUCCCUCACAUUACCGUGCCCAGGAUUACAGAGUGUCCCUUGCUGGUUACAUUUUCCACUGUGGCUUCCCAAUGAGAUUUUUGGCUAUAAUUCACAUAUCCUGCUAAAGAUGAACAAUUCUGGAUCCCAGACUGAAACCUUCUGCUAUUCUAGUUGCAAAAGUUACUCGUUGUCACUCUAUCUCAAUUUAUCUUUAGAAAGUGAAAUAAUAACACCUUUUCCAUGUGUCCCACAGGCUAUUAAGCAAAAGAAAUUGAAGACGACAAAUAUGGGUGGCUCAGAAGUUGUGCUUCGAUCCUUUUAAUUAAAGUUCCUUACCUGAUUUGCCACUGAUGAGCUACCGGACAUUAAAUAAGUCAUUUUAGGGGCGCCUGGGUGGCGCAGUCGGUUAAGCGUCCGACUUCAGCCAGGUCACGAUCUCGCGGUCCGUGAGUUCGAGCCCCGCGUCAGGCUCUGGGCUGAUGGCUCAGAGCCUGGA